ACCGCUACGCGUACUGAAGCCCUGCUUCUCGGGAGGUGGCCGGACAUCGCUGCUGAUGGGAAGUAGAGACUAACAGCUUAUCUGCUUUUGCUUUGCUUCCCGCACGCACAGCUUUGCUGCUUAUUUAUUAAACUGCUUUUAUCUCAACCCACGAGACUCCCAUCUUAUUGUCUCCCCUUCCCUGGCUUGCUGAGGAGGUGGGGGAUAAAGUGGUGUGGUGGGCACCUGGCAUCCAGCCAGGCUCAAACUACCACACCGUUUUUUCCAAUACUGAUGCAGUAAUUCCCAUCUGUCCUAUCUUCUUGCUUUGACCUUGUUUCUGUUACAAUCUGCUGUUUCGGUUUUCCCCUUGCUCAAGCUUGCUAUCACAUAGACAUUCCUUUCUGUGCUUUUUUUCUGUAGAAGACAAUUCAAAGACAAACUGCUAACUUUCUCUGUUUCUGAUAGACCAUACCAUUCAUUAUAGCCCAGGUCCCAACAGUUACCUUAGCUGUUACCUUAACUACAAGACCCUUGUAAAUGUAUUUGUUAGGUUACUUUGGCUGUUACCUUAGUUGUAACUAAAACAAAGGGACUGAUAUCUUUUUUGACCAAUCACUGUGAUUUGGGAAAUUUUGUGUUUCUCGGGAACCAAUCAUGCUGAAGGGCUAAAUUAGAAAAAUGAAAAUUUUAUGCAUGCUUGUGUUAGCAAAUGUGAUUUUUUUGUUUGAGCUGUCUUAAAACCCUGAAAAUGAUAACAAACAAGGAAGCACUUAUGGAGGAGCUAUCCCACCUGUUUUCCCAGCACUACAUAAAACAGAAGUGCCUGCUAAUCUGUAUUCCUGUGUAGAUAAGCUGCGGAUCCAUCAACACCCCUGUAGCCUAUCAGUCAGCACUGUACCACCUUUGACAUUGCUUUCCUAUGGGAGUUAUCUCCAACACCAUGCAAUUGGCCUGAUCGACACCCAUUGAAAAAAUACAGGCUGCCGGUAGAAGUUACGCCACUACGUCUGGGCACUACAAGAAAGGAGGUACAUAGCCAAAAACUAAAGUAGUAAGUAGGUCCCUAUGUAGUCUAUCAGACAGCACUGUGUCACCUUUGCAGCUGCUUUCCUGUGGGAGCUAUCUCCAAUCCCACGCACUUAGAUUGCUCAACUCCCAUUGAAAAAAUACAUGCUGUCGGUAGAAAUUAGACCAGUGCGCAUGGGAGCUUAAAGAAAGCAGGAAGGCAGAACCCACCUACAUUGAUACGUACGUCCCAUUGUGAUCUAUCAGCUUGCACCGUUCCACCUUUGCAGUGGCUUUACUGUGGGAGUUCUCUCCAAUCCCACACAAUUGGCCUGCUCAACUGCCAUUGAAAAAAUACAGGCUGUUGGUAGAAGUGAAAUCACUGCGUAUGGGAGCUACAAGAAAGCAGGAAGGCAGACGCCACCUACAGUGGUACGUAGGUCCCAUUGUAGACUAUCAGUCAGCACUGUCUCCCAUUUGCAGCUGCUUUCCUGUGGGAGUUAUCAAAUAUCCCACAGUCUAAGCCUCGUCAGCUCCCUUUGAAAAUACAUGAUUUCGGAAGAAGUUACGCCACCGCGUCUGGGCACUACAAGAAAGCAAGUACACAGACCCCAACUACAGUGAUGGCAGCGAGCAGCCUCAGAGCACUUGAGGUUCUUCUAUUUCGGGCAACAAAAGCAAUGACAUGGGGAAACAAGAGUUCACCUUUGCGGUGUAGAAGACAUUGUAGAGUUUGGUUGAUGCUGAUAGCUUCCUCUGGAUUUAUUUAGAGAUCUCACAUUUCCAGGCUAUUUGUAAAGAUCAAACUUGCUGCCACAGAUCUUAGGCAAUUCCUGCCACGUCUCACGCUUUCCUGGUCUGGAUGCAGAAAUGGUUCCUUUGAAAACAACAGGCUAAAGAGAUGAAAAACAAGUCAUAUGCCAAUGUUCCCAAGGUCUGAGGAGCUCUGGUGUCUCCUGUCUCAGUGGUAUCUCCACGUCCUGCUGGAUGCAGAAACUGGAUGUCCACUGAACCUUUAUAUGCCGCUGUCCGUGCAUGGUGUGAAUAGCUCAAGUUGAUCGAUAGUAAGAGUGAAUGCAAGAUGGUGUAAUAGGAACUGGCUGUGAUCUGAAUCUCCCUCAUUUCAAUAUUCAGGAAGGGAAAAGGGGAUUUAAAACAAUAUUCAAGGAAUUCCAGACACACACAAUUUUCAGCAAAAACCACGAGUUACCUGCUCCUUUCCCUGGGUUCCUGUCUAAGGACUCUGAGAGAUAUUCACUGGUAGGAAGAGCCACGUCAUUAGAAGUUUAUAGGGAUAUAGUCAACUAUGAAAGCUUUUAUUAAACUUACACAUUAAGUGUAAAAAGUACGUCUUCACCUGAACCCAAUUAAAUGUCUAAACAUAAAAUCAUAGAAUGGUUUGAGUUGGAAGGGACCUUUAAAGGUCAUAUUGUCCAACCCUUCUUCAGUGAGCAGGAACAUCUUCAAGUAGAUCAGAUUGUUCAGAGUCUCAUCCAACCUGACCUUGAUUGUUUCCAAGGAUGGGGCUUCUACCACCUUUCUAGGCAGACUGGGACAUUGUUUCAACACCCUCAUUGUAAAAGUUUUCUUCUUUAUAUGUAGUCUGAAUCUCUCUUCCAUUAGUUUAAAACCGUUGUCCCAUCACAACAGACCCUACUAAAACAUACUUCUCCAAUAGUUGGGUUUUAAAUGCUACUGAUGUGAGCAGGGGAGGAGCUGUAGAAUGUAAAAUGAUUUCUGAUAGUGUGCUGAGAAUGUGGGACCUGAUGCUUUGCUCUCCAUUCAUACAGGCAAAUCUUCCUAUACUCUCAUACAACAGAGAAACACCCAAAGGUAAAGCUUAAAGUGAGAUUAGGUUUCAUGAGAGCUGAAGCCAGCCUUGUUAAAGAUGCUCAGGGACCAGUCCAUCCAGCCAGUCUUGUUGACUUUCAUUCACAGCAUCUGUGUUGGUGUAAGAGGUGGCAAUGACAUACAAGAGAAUAAUUGGGAUAUAAAGGCAAGUUGGAACAAUUAUUUUUUGGCCAAUUCACUUUACUUCUUAAUGGUCCCUUGGAGGGAUGCUCUUCAGGCUUUUUAGUGGUGUUGUAAACAUGAAAAUACAUCCCAUUUAGUACAAAGACUAACUAACUCUUAGAACUCACCAGGUAAGAAAUACUGAGUGGGGUUGGUUGACUUCUUCCAAUUGUGGAUAAUGUAAAGAUUUCUUGACAUACACAAAUUUAACUUUGAAAUUGAGAACCUGAAUUUAGAUUUUACCUGGCAAGUUGAUAGUUACACAUGUCCAUAGCUUAAUGAAACUGCAGUAAAUCCUUUGGCAGAGUUACAGAAUGUAAUAGCCCGUGGCACAGUCUGUCACCUGCAAAAUGGAUUAUUGUUGCUUUCUUUCAUUUUGUGGGUUAAGCAAGUAUUUAAGGGUAUUGUCCCAUGAAAGCAUUUUUUAACAAACAUAUGGUAUGAGUUCGUUGGGCAGUUCUUUUGCUUUUUAAUCUUUUGGAAGAAAGUCCCAUGUGAAAAGACUUUUACAAAUUAUUAUGGUAGGUUUCAGAUUUGAUUUUAAUGCUCUGUCAUAAUGAAGGCAAUAGAGAUUUGAAUGAAAUGACAACAGAUCCACUAGUGAUGCCCCAUCUGCUACACUGUCAUGUAGAAUAUUAUUGCUCAAAGUUGAACUUCCAAGAUAAAACAACCUGGUAAUGUAAUACAAAUACCAGAAUAUAUUUAUUUUAAAUUUUUGGUGGAAGCAGGGAAAAGUAAAGUUAAUUUACUGAUUUUUGAAGGCUUAAAGGAAGAUAUGAAUGAUUACUUAGCCAUUUAGUGUUUCUCUGCAGUAAAUGUGCUGGGAUUUCAACAGAAUGUUGGUGAUAUUGAAAUUAAAGGUUGAUUUUAUUUAGAAUUUUUUUCAGAAGAAUCACAGAAUGCUCAAAUGACUUUGUGUGGUAAAUACAGCUAGCAGGGAUCUGCCACCGGAUCUGGCCUUUCAGUCCUUUUUCAAUGGUUAAUGAGGACAACCAUUCUCUUCCCUUUUCCUAAAAGGAUGAAAAGAACAUCAUCAUCUAGGAGUAACUCCAAAGAUACAUAGAACUGUAUUUCUUGGGGUCUCUGGUGGCACAACUUUUGGGCUGAUGAGCAGUGUACAGCCAGAAGAAAGCAGACAAAACCCCAUGUCUUUUUUUUAAUGGCCUCACAGCAACAUGGAGCACAUUGCAAUGUUCGCUGCUUGUGAAAGCCUCUUCAACUUGCUCAAGAAGAUAAAUAAGCCGGUAUAUAUUUAUGGACUAUAUUUCAUUCAUGGAUGAGAAAGGAGUAUUAAAAGACUGCAUCAAACACAACAGCAAAAUAUACCAGACAUGCUUAUAUGACUUUCCUGGUUGUAUGGAGAAAGGCUGUACAGUGCUGAUCCCUCUAGCCCAGGACUCUGCCUCUCCUGGCAGGUAGAACUGAGUGCUCAGUGAAGGAGAAGAAAAUCAGAUAGUUAUAUGCCUCCCAAACAUCCUCCAGCAAUUUGUGACUCCAAGAUGUUCAAAGCCAGAAGACGCAUCUAGGUGUGCAAUAACCCUCAAUAGAUUGUCAGCAGAGAAGUUGUCAGGGAAGACUCAUCCAGUCCUUCCUUGGAUGCUUACAAGCUUUUAUCACUCAGAGCAAACUGUGGACACCAGCCACUGUCUAGCUGUGCACUGUUCAAGGGAUCACCUCCCUUGCUUUCAACUCACUGCCUGGUGGAAACCAGAUCAUACUCCUUCUUUUGCUGGGGGAGUGAAGAGAUGAUCUGCCAUCCUGUCUCUGACACUCAUGUCUUCAUCCACAUCUGCCUUCUGUUCUGGGAUGAAAACUCUAAAUCUACAAUCACCCAGGAUGAAAACUCCUAAUCUAGGAUCAUCCUUGUUGCUCUUCUCCCAGCCUUUUGUGCAUCUUCUCAGUCAUUUUUGAGAUGGGAAAACCAAAUCACAUUAUUUAGUCAUCCAAAGUUAUCUCUUUUGUUCUCUUUUCUUUCCUUGAAGAUCCUAAAACUAAUUUCUCUUUGACUGCUGUUGAGCUCUGUGCUGAUGUUUCCUGCAGUUAUUUAUCAUAAUCCCAAGAUUGCUUUCCAGGUUGCUUAAAUAUCUUCAGAGCUUACAGUAAGAGGCUUGGUUGGGAGCUGUUUGGAAGUAAAUGGAUUGUAUCAACUGGAUCUGCCCAUGACCUUAUGACUCUUUACAAAAGCACCAGGUCUGUGAAACUUGGCUUUUCCCCCAAGUGCUGAUAACAUUUAUCCAAGUGCUUCAGUUCGUCUUCAAUGUUCAAGAGUAAAAUGGUAAAAAAGAGACAAGAAAGUUGCUGUGUUAGCAAGGUGAACUGACAUCUCCUAACAAGAUGCAGAAAGACUGUGAAGAUAAACUUCAAAAGUUCUGAUGACUGCUCAUUUUCUUCUAGGGAACAUGAACACCAUCAUAACGUGUAAGACUAAAAAAAUAUCUACUGGCUUCACUAAGCUAUUUAUUGUACUUAAAUUUUUGCUUAAAAUCAAACAUCUGAGUUAAAUAAACUUGGAGAAGUUGAAAGUCUUCCAACUGUUAUGGUGUUCAAAGAGUAGGCUGGGGAGGUGUAGUUGAUGAAGCAAAAUUAUAUUUAUCCACUAAGUUAGCAAAUUGAAAUCUAAGAACACAUCAUUACUUUAUGAUUAUUAUUAACCAGGAAACAGAAGAUACAUUUGUAGUUGUCUGUAUUUUGAAUUGAGUAAAAAUCUUUUCGUUUACAUCCUGUUGAUAGUAGCUAUCUACGAAUUGGAAUUCUCUGAUGCAAUUGCUAAUGUCUGUUUUGUAAACUCUACUCAAACUUGCUGGAGAAAAGCUAAGUAGAAAUAAAC